rnacentral:rRNA from 1 species
UACGAAGGGGGCUAGCGUUGCUCGGAAUCACUGGGCGUAAAGCGCACGUAGGCGGAUCUUUAAGUCAGGGGUGAAAUCCUGGAGCUCAACUCCAGAACUGCCUUUGAUACUGGGGAUCUCGAGUCCGGAAGAGGUGAGUGGAACUCCGAGUGUAGAAGUGAAAUUCGUAGAUAUUCGGAAGAACACCAGUGGCGAAGGCGGCUCACUGGUCCGGUACUGACGCUGAGGUGCGAAAGCGUGGGGAGCAAACAGG